GGGUUGUGAGGUUAAGCGACUAAGCGUACACGGUGGAUGCCCCGGCAGUCAGAGGCGAUGAAGGACGUGCUAAUCUGCGAUAAGCGUCGGUGAGGUGAUAUGAACCGUUAUAACCGGCGAUUUCCGAAUGGGGAAACCCAGUGUGUUUCGACACACUAUCAUUAACUGAAUCCAUAGGUUAAUGAGGCGAACCGGGGAACUGAAACAUCUAAGUACCCCGAGGAAAAGAAAUCAACCGAGAUUCCCCAGUAGCGGCGAGCGAACGGGGAGGAGCCCAGAGCCUGAAUCAGUGUGUGUGUUAGUGGAAGCGUCUGGAAAGGCGCGCGAUACAGGGUGACAGCCCCGUACACAAAAAUGCACAUAUUGUGAGCUCGAUGAGUAGGGCGGGACACGUGGUAUCCUGUCUGAAUAUGGGGGACCAUCCUCCAAGGCUAAAUACUCCUGACUGACCGAUAGUGAACCAGUACCGUGAGGGAAAGGCGAAAAGAACCCCGGCGAGGGGAGUGAAAAGAACCUGAAACCGUGUACGUACAAGCAGUGGGAGCCUCUUUAUGGGGUGACUGCGUACCUUUGUAUAAUGGGUCAGCGACUUAUAUUCUGUAGCAAGGUUAACCGAAUAGGGGAGCCGAAGGGAAACCGAGUCUUAACUGGGCGUUAAGUUGCAGGGUAUAGACCCGAAACCCGGUGAUCUCAGCCAUGGGCAGGUUGAAGGUUGGGUAACACUAACUGGAGGACCGAACCGACUAAUGUUGAAAAAUUAGCGGAUGACUUGUGGCUGGGGGUGAAAGGCCAAUCAAACCGGGAGAUAGCUGGUUCUCCCCGAAAGCUAUUUAGGUAGCGCCUCGUGAAUUCAUCUCCGGGGUAGAGCACUGUUUCGGCAAGGGGGUCAUCCCGACUUACCAACCCGAUGCAAACUGCGAAUACCGGAGAAUGUUAUCACGGGAGACACACGGCGGGUGCUAACGUCCGUCGUGAAGAGGGAAACAACCCAGACCGCCAGCUAAGGUCCCAAAGUCAUGGUUAAGUGGGAAACGAUGUGGGAAGGCCCAGACAGCCGGGAUGUUGGCUUAGAAGCAGCCAUCAUUUAAAGAAAGCGUAAUAGCUCACUGGUCGAGUCGGCCUGCGCGGAAGAUGUAACGGGGCUAAACCAUGCACCGAAGCUGCGGCAGCGACACUAUGUGUUGUUGGGUAGGGGAGCGUUCUGUAAGCCUGUGAAGGUGGCCUGUGAGGGUGGCUGGAGGUAUCAGAAGUGCGAAUGCUGACAUAAGUAACGAUAAAGCGGGUGAAAAGCCCGCUCGCCGGAAGACCAAGGGUUCCUGUCCAACGUUAAUCGGGGCAGGGUGAGUCGACCCUAAGGCGAGGCCGAAAGGCGUAGUCGAUGGGAAACAGGUUAAUAUUCCUGUACUUGGUGUUACUGCGAAGGGGGACGGAGAAGGCUAUGUUGGCCGGGCGACGGUUGUCCCGGUUUAAGCGUGUAGGCUGGUUUUCCGUGCAAAUCCGGAAAACCAAGGCUGAGGCGUGAUGACGAGGCACUACGGUGCUGAAGCGACAAAUGCCCUGCUUCCAGGAAAAGCCUCUAAGCAUCAGGUAACAUCAAAUCGUACCCCAAACCGACACAGGUGGUCAGGUAGAGAAUACCAAGGCGCUUGAGAGAACUCGGGUGAAGGAACUAGGCAAAAUGGUGCCGUAACUUCGGGAGAAGGCACGCUGAUAUGUAGGUGAAGCGACUUGCUCGUGGAGCUGAAAUCAGUCGAAGAUACCAGCUGGCUGCAACUGUUUAUUAAAAACACAGCACUGUGCAAACACGAAAGUGGACGUAUACGGUGUGACGCCUGCCCGGUGCCGGAAGGUUAAUUGAUGGGGUUAGCGGUAACGCGAAGCUCUUGAUCGAAGCCCCGGUAAACGGCGGUAGUAACUAUAACGGUCCUAAGGUAGCGAAAUUCCUUGUCGGGUAAGUUCCGACCUGCACGAAUGGCGUAAUGAUGGCCGGGCUGUCUCCACCCGAGACUCAGUGAAAUUGAACUCGCUGUGAAGAUGCAGUGUACCCGCGGCAAGACGGAAAGACCCCGUGAACCUUUACUAUAGCUUGACACUGAACAUUGAGCCUUGAUGUGUAGGAUAGGUGGGAGGCUUUGAAGUGUGGACGCCAGUCUGCAUGGAGCCGACCUUGAAAUACCACCCUUUAAUGUUUGAUGUUCUAACGUUGGCCCGUAAUCCGGGUUGCGGACAGUGUCUGGUGGGUAGUUUGACUGGGGCGGUCUCCUCCUAAAGAGUAACGGAGGAGCACGAAGGUUGGCUAAUCUCGGGUCGGACAUCAGGAGGUUAGUGCAAUGGCAUAAGCCAGCUUGACUGCGAGCGUGACGGCGCGAGCAGGUGCGAAAGCAGGUCAUAGUGAUCCGGUGGUUCUGAAUGGAAGGGCCAUCGCUCAACGGAUAAAAGGUACUCCGGGGAUAACAGGCUGAUACCGCCCAAGAGUUCAUAUCGACGGCGGUGUUUGGCACCUCGAUGUCGGCUCAUCACAUCCUCGGGGCUGAAGUAGGUCCCAAGGGUAUGGCUGUUCGCCAUUUAAAGUGGUACGCGAGCUGGGUUUAGAACGUCGUGAGACAGUUCGGUCCCUAUCUGCCGUGGGCGCUGGAGAACUGAGGGGGCUGCUCCUAGUACGAGAGGACCGGAGUGGACGCAUCACUGGUGUUCGGGUUGUCAUGCCAAUGGCACUGCCCGGUAGCUAAAUGCGGAAGAGAUAAGUGCUGAAAGCAUCUAAGCACGAAACUUGCCCCGAGAUGAGUUCUCCCUGACUCCUUGAGAGUCCUGAAGGAACGUUGAAGACGACGACGUUGAUAGGCCGGGUGUGUAAGCGCAGCGAUGCGUUGAGCUAACCGGUACUAAUGAACCGUGAGGCUUAACCUUACAACGCCGAAG
rnacentral:rRNA from 1 species